rnacentral:rRNA from 1 species
AGCUCCAAGAGCGUAUAUUAAAGUUGUUGCAGUUAAAAAGCUCGUAGUUGGAUUUCUGGUAUAAUGCGCCUGGCCCGCGACCGUUAGGUCUGUGAGUGCCGGUGCGCGUUUGCCAUCCUUCUAGAAAACGUUUCUACCCUUCGCUGGGCCGGACUCGCGAUCUAGAUCUUUUACUUUGAAAAAAUUAGAGUGUUUAAAGCAGGCUUUUGCUAUGAAUACAUUAGCAUGGAAUAAUAAUCUAGGACUUCGGUUCUAUUUUGUUGGUUUCUAGUACUGAAGUAAUGAUUGAUAGGGAUAGUUGGGGGUGCUAGUAUUGGCCGGCCAGAGGUGAAAUUCUUGGAUUCGGUCAAGACUAACUUAUGCGAAAGCAUUCACCAAGGAUGUCUUCUUUAAUCAAGAA